UACAGAGGGUGCGAGCGUUGUUCGGAAUUAUUGGGCGUAAAGGGCGCGUAGGCGGUGCGGUAAGUCACCUGUGAAACCUCUGGGCUUAACUCAGAGCCUGCAGGCGAAACUACCGUGCUGGAGUGUGGGAGAGGUGCGUGGAAUUCCCGGUGUAGCGGUGAAAUGCGUAGAGAUCAGGAAGAACGUCGGUGGCGAAGGCGCUCUGCUGGACCAUAACUGACACUCAGGGACGAAAGCUAGGGGAGCGAAUGGG
rnacentral:rRNA from 1 species